rnacentral:rRNA from 1 species
AUUGAACGCUGGCGGCAUGCCUUACACAUGCAAGUCGAACGAGUGGGGAACGGGGGAGUAAUAUAUCGGACCGUACCGAGCAAUGGGGGAUAACCAAACGAAAGAUUGGAUAAUACCCCAUAUUCUUUGAGCGGCCGAUAUCUGAUUAGCUAGUGGGGGGGGUAAAGGCCUACCAGGGCGACGUCCAGUAGCGGGUCUGAGGGGAUGAUCGGCCACACUGGGACUGAGACACGGCCCAGACUCCUACGGGAGGCAGCAGUGGGGAAUUUUGGACAAUGGGGGCAGCCCUGAUCCAGCCAUGCCGCGUGUAUGAAGAAGGCCUUCGGGUUGUAAGUUACUUUUGUUAGGGAAGCGGUACCUAAAGAAUAAGCACCGGCUAACUCCGUGCCAGCCGCCGCGGUAAUAC